rnacentral:rRNA from 1 species
CCUACGGGUGGCAGCAGUGGGGAAUAUUGGGCAAUGGACGCAAGUCUGACCCAGCAACGCCGCGUGAAGGAAGAAGGCUUUCGGGUUGUAAACUUCUUUUAAGGGGGAAGAGCAGAAGACGGUACCCCUUGAAUAAGCUACGGCUAACUACGUGCCAGCAGCCGCGGUAAUACGUAGGUGGCAAGCGUUGUCCGGAUUUACUGGGUGUAAAGGGCGUGCAGCCGGAGAGACAAGUCAGAUGUGAAAUCCACGGGCUCAACCCGUGAACUGCCAUUAUGACUAUGUAUCUAGAGUAAUAGAGAGGAUAGCGGAAUAACCAGUGUAGAGGUGAAAUUCGUAGAUAUUGGGUAGAACACCGGUGGCGAAGGCGGCUAUCUGGCCAUUUACUGACGCUGAGGCUCGAAAGCAUGGGGAUCAAACAGGAUUAGAUACCCCAGUAGUC